UACGUAGGGUGCAAGCGUUAAUCGGAAUUACUGGGCGUAAAGCGUGCGCAGGCGGUUCGGAAAGAAAGAUGUGAAAUCCCAGAGCUUAACUUUGGAACUGCAUUUUUAACUGCCGGGCUAGAGUAUGUCAGAGGGGGGUAGAAUUCCACGUGUAGCAGUGAAAUGCGUAGAGAUGUGGAGGAAUACCGAUGGCGAAGGCAGCCCCCUGGGAUAAUACUGACGCUCAUGCACGAAAGCGUGGGGAGCAAACAGG
rnacentral:rRNA from 1 species